AAUCGAACCCGGAGAUAGCUGGUUCUCCUCGAAAUAGCUUUAGGGCUAGCCUCAUGGAUCAUUGGUGGGGGUAGAGCACUGAAUGUGCGCGGGGGCCACAAAGCCUACCAAACGCUAUCAAACUUCGAAUACCAUACAAUGCAGACCAUGGGAGUCAGUCCGCGAGAGAUAAGUUCCGCGGGCAAAAGGGGAACACCCCAGAUCAACCGCUAAGGUCCCCAAGUUCACGUUAAGUGGAGAAGGAUGUGGAAUUGCACAGACAACCAGGAUGUUGGCUCAGAAGCAGCCACACAUUUAAAGAGUGCGUAAUAGCUCACUGGUCGAGUGAUUGUGCGCCGAAGAUGUCCGGGGCUAAACGUGACACCGAAGCGAUGGGUGCAUCUGAAGAAGAUGCGCGGUAGAGGAGCAAUGUGCAGAGGCAGAAGCCGUAUCGAGAGGCACGGUGGACACUGCACAAGAGAGAAUGCCGGUAUGAGUAGCGAGAGGCAUGCGAGAAACAUGCCCGUCGAAAGCCCAAGGUUUCCUGGGGAAGGUUCAUCCGCCCAGGGUAAGUCGGGGCCUAAGCCGAGGACGGAAGUCGUAGGCGAUGGACAGCAGGUGUAGAUUCCUGCACUACCGAUGGAAUGAAGCAGUGACACAGAAGGAUAACUCGAGCAGGGUGAUGGUCAACCCUGUGCAAGCAUCAAGGUUGGGUUGUAGUGAAGUACGCAAUCCUACAAGCUGAGGUGUGAUGCGGACCGAAAUUUCAGUAGGGAAGCGAGUGAGUUCACGCUGGCGAGAAAAGCUGCUAGUACAUCCAAAGGUACCCGUACCGGAAACCGACGCAGGUGGGCGAGGAGAGAAUCCUGAGACGAACGGGAGAACCCUUGUUAAGGAACUCGGCAAAAUGACCCCGUAACUUCGGGAUAAGGGGUGCCUGCGAGAGCAGGCCGCAGAGAAUAGUCACAAGCGACUGUUUAGCAAAAACACAGGUAUCUGCGAAAGCGAGAGCUGACGUAUAGGUGCUGACACCUGCCCGGUGCUGGAAGGUUAAGGGAACAUGUUAGAGCAAUCGAAGCAUCGAACCGAAGCCCCAGUAAACGGCGGCCGUAACUAUAACGGUCCUAAGGUAGCGAAAUUCCUUGUCGGGUAAGUUCCGACCCGCACGAAUGGUGUAACGACUUGUGAGCUGUCUCAACAGGGGGCCCGGUGAAAUUGAAGUAUGGGUGAAGAUGCCCAUUACCCGCGACUGGACGGAGAGACCCCGUAGAGCUUUACUGCAGCCUGAUAUUGAGUUUCGGUAACUGAUGCACAGGAUAGGUGGGAGUCUGAGAGACAUGGGUUUCGGCUCAUGUGGAGACGAUGUUGGGAUACCACUCUUCGGUUACUGAAAUUCUAACAUAGCUCUGUGAAACCAGAGGAUGGACAGUGUCAGGUGGACAGUUUGACUGGGGCGGUCGCCUCCGAAAGAGUAACGGAGGCGCCCAAAGGUACCCUCAGAAUGGAUGGAAACCAUUCGAAGAGCGCAAAGGCAGAAGGGUGCCUGACUGCGAGAUUGACAAAUCGAGCAGAGACGAAAGUCGGGCUUAGUGAUCCGGCGGUAUUGAGUGGAAAAGCCGUCGCUUAACGGAUAAAAGCUACCUCGGGGAUAACAGGCUGAUCUCCCCCAAGAGUCCACAUCGACGGGGAGGUUUGGCACCUCGAUGUCGGCUCAUCACAUCCUGGGGCUGUAUUCGGUCCCAAGGGUUCGGCUGUUCGCCGAUUAAAGUGGUACGCGAGCUGGGUUCAGAACGUCGCGAGACAGUUCGGUCCCUAUCUGUCGUGGGCGCAGGAUAUUUGAGGAGCUCUGUCCUUAGUACGAGAGGACCGGGAUGGACGUACCUCUGGUGCACCAGUUGUCAUGCCAAUGGCACGGCUGGGCAGCUAUGUACGGAACGGAUAAACGCUGAAAGCAUCUAAGCGUGAAGCCGACUCCAAGAUUAGAUAUCCCAUCGUAUAACGAGUAAGACCCCUUGAAGACUACGAGGUUGAUAGGCUGCGUGUGUAAGUGCCGUGAGGCAUUCAGCUUGGCAGUACUAAUAGGUCGAGGGCUUGACCA
rnacentral:rRNA from 1 species